rnacentral:lncRNA from 1 species
UUUCCAACCCAACUACUCCUGCUGAACGCAUCUUGGGCUUGGAGCGCGGGACCACAAUCUUUACACUUCUGGCCCUCGUCCUUUACUGUCAGAAAGGGUCAGCACCUGAGGAGAUUUAGAUAGUCCCUCUGGAGGGAGUGGUUCCAUUUGCGAGCCUUUAAAAGUCUUGCCACCCAGCCUGUCCCCCGCAAACCCCUUGGGUUUAUCACAGUUUACUCACUCUCGCGCAAUGCUAGUUCUCCAUCCGCCGCUAGGAGGCACCCCGAAGGGUUUGCUGUGGUGAAAACAAUGCUGCAUGCAGUUUAUGCUGCACUUUAGUUAGCUCUUGGAGGCGAGCUGGGAAAUAGUGACUGCUGAUCCAUGGACAAAGAAGCCGCUUUUUACUAUGUUCUAUUUUCAAGGCCUGAAGAAGUUCUCUGUAGCACAUAGUAGUCUGGAGUUGGUUCCUGCCGGUGGGUUCGUGGUCUCAGGAAUAAAGCCGGGACCUUCGCGGUGAGUGUCACAGCGCUUUUAGAUGGCACGGACCAAAGAGUUGGCGGUACCAAGGUUUAUUGUGAAGACCAAAACAACAAACGUUUCACACUGUGAAAGGAGACUCCAGCCAGCAUGGGGGGCAACUUUUAUUCCCUUAUUGUCUCUCCCUCCCCUGCCCCGCCCCCAUGUUGCUUUUCUGUCCUACCAGAGUGCCCUUUUUUCAAUCCUCCCCAUGAUUGGCUACUUUUAGAAUCCUACUGAUUGAUGCGUUUUACAGAGCGCCAAUUGGUGUGUUUUACAGAGCGCUGCUUGGUGUGUUUUACAGAGGGCUGAUUGGUGUGUUUUACAAUCCUCUUGUAAGAGAGGAAAGUUCCUCAAGUCCCCACUUCACCCAGGAAGUCCAGCUGGGCUCACCUCUCAAUACAGUUUUCUAAUUAGU